GACGAACGCUGGCGGCGUGCUUAACACAUGCAAGUCGAACGGGAGGAAAAGAGAAGCUUGCUUCUUUUUGAAUCUAGUGGCAAACGGGUGAGUAACACGUAAACAACCUGCCUUCAGGAUGGGGACAACAGACGGAAACGACUGCUAAUACCGAAUGUGUUCCGGAGACCGCAUGAUUUCCGGAAGAAAAGGAUGGCCUCUAUUUAUAAGCUAUCGCCUGAAGAGGGGUUUGCCGUCUGAUUAGGCAGUUGGUGAGGUAACGGCCCACCAAACCUACGAUCAGUAGCCGGUCUGAGAGGAAGGUCCCCCACAUUGGAACUGAGACACGGUCCAAACUCCUACGGGA
rnacentral:rRNA from 1 species